rnacentral:misc_RNA from 1 species
AUGCAGCUUCUUGAAACUUCUCUCUCAUUGUUCUAACAAAUUUGAAUAAGCCAUUGGUUCUAUUCAACUCGUGGACCAACUCUUUAGUGUCAUUCAAGUGGGGAUUACAAGCCAACAAAGAAUAUGUAUCAUCUUCGUGGCAAAUGGUAAAAGUGUACUCCUCACACGGAUUGCUCAAGUUGAUGUAGUUGAAUGUGAAUUUCACCCC